rfam:Eurypyga helias contig74293, whole genome shotgun sequence.
UGCACUGUAUGGUGUCUGCACCCAGCAGUAUCGUCCUGGUGGGGUGUUCAAAAAGUGGUGCUACAGUAUUUCAGCAGCUGGCAUCGUUGGUUUUCACGCAGAUGUGCUGGUUAAACUUGGUAUUUCUGUUGAAACAAGU